rnacentral:ncRNA from 1 species
CUCUAGCUAAACUUACACAUGCAAGUAUCCGCGACCCUGNGNGNNUGCCCCACAGUUUUCCGCCCGAAAACAAGGAGCUGGUAUCAGGCACACCCAACUAAAGCCCAUGACGCCUUGCUUAGCCACACCCUCAAGGGAACUCAGCAGUGAUAAACCUUAAGCUAUAAGUGAAAACUUGACUUAGUUAAAGCUAAGAGGGCCGGUAAAACUCGUGCCAGCCACCGCGGUUAUACGAGAGGCCCAAGUUGACAGACACCGGCGUAAAGCGUGGUUAAGGUAUACCAAAACUAAAGCCGAACACCUUCAGGGCAGUUAUACGCAUCCGAAGACACGAAGCCCCACCACGAAAGUGGCUUUAUGAACCCUGACCCCACGAAAGCUAUGACACAAACUGGGAUUAGAUACCCCACUAUGCCUAGCCGUAAACAUUGAUAGAAUUUUACACCCUCUAUCCGCCUGGGUACUACGAGCAUUAGCUUGAAACCCAAAGGACUUGGCGGUACUUUAGAUCCCCCUAGAGGAGCCUGUUCUAUAACCGAUGACCCCCGUUCAACCUCACCCUCCCUUGUUUCUCCCGCCUAUAUACCGCCGUCGUCAGCUUACCCUGUGAAGGUCUAAUAGUAAGCAAAAUUGGCACCGCCCAGAACGUCAGGUCGAGGUGUAGCGCAUGAGAGGGGAAGAAAUGGGCUACAUUCGCUAAUAUAGCGAAUACGAACGAUGCACUGAAAACGUCCAUCUGAAGGAGGAUUUAGCAGUAAGUGGAAAAUAGAGUGUUCCACUGAAAUCGGCUCUGAAGUGCGUACACACCGCCCGUCACUCUCCCCAAGCUUACCAAUUUAUGUAUCUAAAACGCUUUAACUGCGAAGGGGAGGCAAGUCGUAACAUGGUAAGUGUACCGGAAGGUGCACUUGGAAAAAUCAGAGUAUAGCUAAGAUAGAAUAGCAUUUCCCUUACACUGAAA